rnacentral:SRP_RNA from 3 species
CGGGAGGUUGGCGCGGACGUGUUCCUCGUCGAUCGGGUCAGGUCCGGAAGGAAGCAGCCCAGGUGAGAUCCUCACGGGUCGAUGUCCAACCUCCUACUC